UUUUAAAUCUAAAUUAAAUUCGAAUUAAUAAAAAAAAAAAUUAAAAA
rnacentral:tRNA from 1 species